UACGUAGGGGGCUAGCGUUGUCCGGAAUCAUUGGGCGUAAAGCGCGUGUAGGCGGUCCGGUAAGUCCGCUGUGAAAGUCGAGGGCUCAACCCUCGAAUGCCGGUGGAUACUGUCGGGCUUGAGUACGGGAGAGGCGAGUGGAAUUCCUGGUGUAGCGGUGAAAUGCGCAGAUAUCAGGAAGAACACCCGUGGCGAAGGCGGCUCUCUGGGACGGUACUGACGCUGAGACGCGAAAGCGUGGGGAGCGAACAGG
rnacentral:rRNA from 1 species